AGAGACUAACCAGGAUUCCCUUGGUAACGGCGAGUGAAGAGGGAAGAGCCCAGCACCGAAGCCUGCGGUAGUUUUGCUGUUAGGCAAUGUGGUGUGUGGGUCGGCUCGCGGGACCAUCACUCCACUCGAAGUCCAGCAUUGAGUAUGGCAAUCACUGGAUUUGGCCCAUAGAGGGUGAGAGGCCCGUACGGGUGGAGGUUCAGACAUGUACGAUGGUUCACCAGGCCGGCCUCAGAGUCGGGUUGUUUGAGAUUGCAGCCCAAAGAGGGUGGUAAACUCCAUCCAAGGCUAAAUACUGCCACGAGUCCGAUAGCGAACAAGUACCAUGAGGGAAAGUUGAAAAGUACUCUGAAGAGAGAGUAAACAGUACGUGAAGCCGCAUGCAGGUAAACGGGUGGCGUCAAGCUGCGAGCCCGGAGGAUUCAGCUGACUGGGAUGUAGUGCACGCGCGCCUGGUGCGUCGAGAGGCCGGAGUAAGAUGUGGCGGUCCACUCCUCUGCUGGGAGUGGAGUGCGGUCGGUGUGCGCUUGCGUAUGCCGGUUGUCGCUAUGCAUGCCGGGUGGGUGCCGGAGCAUGCCGCUCGUCUGUUGGGCCACCUAGUUAGUGCAUUUUCUCCGUGGUGAACACCACGACCGGUGGAACUGCCAGUCUGCUGUGAUCAAGUCGUGUUCUCCUGGCGCGUUGCUGUGUUGGGUGGGCACGAUCGCAGACGGAGUCGGUGGACGGCGCAGUGGUGCUUCGGUACUGCCGCGUGUUAUCGUGCACUCUCCGUCGUAAGCGGUUAGUGGGGUUGACUAAGUGCUGUGACCUACUUUCCCGCUAGCCGGCGGAUCACAGUGGUGAAAGGGACUGUGCAGGGCACCGGAGUUGUCCAUCUCAUUCAAUAUGGUACUCGGCACGCACGUUACAGGUGUUAUAUACAAUCGGGAUGCGCCGCUGUCUGCCUGGUGUUGGGCCUGACUGUCGUGUUGCCUGCGAAAAGUGGGUCCGGCAGUGGUUUCGAUGCUUGGUAGUCGCAGUGUGUUGCGUAUCUCGGGUGUCUGUGGUACCGGGGAUGAAAUAGUCAGUGGUGCUGUGGUAGAC
rnacentral:rRNA from 1 species